rnacentral:tRNA from 5 species
GCCCCCGUGGCGGAAUCGGUAGACGCAGCGGACUUAAAAUCCGCCGCUUUUGGCUUGUGGGUUCGAGUCCCACCGGGGGCA